UUUUUUUUUUUUUUUUUUUUUUUUUUUUGUACCAGCAUCAUAUACCACUGUGUACCUACAGUCUUCACUUAUCCGGUGCUAUGUGAAAGUUCUGCUAGAUGGGUAUAUCAGAAUGUGAAAUGCAAGGAUGAAAAUUAGAUGCCCACUGAUUUUUAUUUUUUUUUAAUUUUUUUUAUUUAGAGAUUUAAGCAGAUUUCAUAUGGAAGCCUUAGAUGGAUUCUCAGUUUUUAUUUUCCAUUAGCAGGUUGUAAAGCAAUUUUUAUAUAUAAAUAUAUUGAAAAGAAAACAAUAAGAAAAAAAAAAACUUGUACCUAGCACAGUAUUGGCAUAGAAUUACAUGUAACAUAUUUUAUAUGGUAAUUAUUGUUUUUUCUAUUAUUAUUAUUAUUUUGUUAAACCUUUUAUGUGACUCUUGAUGGUCUGAUUUGUGGUAAAGGCUCUGUUCCAGCUAGAUAAAACAUUAACGCAUUAAGGACAAUUAAAGGGAUUUCACAAUUUUACAUUAAAACUGACCAUGUACAUGCUUUAAAGCAAUAGUACAGUCUGUCUUGUUUUUGGAAGGGGGGUUAACUUUCAGUGUUAUUCAUGAAAGAGUGAAUUCUAGGAAUUGAGUUUCAGGUCACAUUAAUUUUGAAAAGUAGCCGAUUUAGGAGCAUUUUUCCAUUUGGCUGUUUUGGCUUUUAUUUUGAAAUUCACUUUGAAUUCUAAAACAAUGCACGCUUUAGUGAGAUAAUAUACAAAUCGUUUAUCUUCCUUCCUUUAAUUAGGCAAUUAAUCCAUUCAAUCUUUCUACAUUUUGACAACAAUUGGUCAUGUUUUUGCUCUUAAAAGCAUAAUUCAGACUUUUGGCAAUAUCAAACCAUAGUAAACUUUAUUUUGGCAGAUUUCCAGAGAAAGCAUAACAUGCAGUCAUCUGCACAAGAUGUGUACAAAACAAUCCUAGUAUGAAACAGAUGUCAGGAGAAGGUGGGGUUACAAAUAUUUCUCAUUGCACUUGCAGGCUAAGACACACAUAGCCAACAUGCAAGUCAUACAAGGUUGCAGAUGUUGCUGGCAGGUUUACUUUCUGGAGGGAAACCUUUCUAACGGUGCACUUCUAGUGCAUAGUCUGCAUUUCCAAAUCAAAUGAAAUUGCUUUAAUUUGGUAAUGUAAGAGUUAGUUUUUUUUGUUUGUUUUUGUCUUUACAUUUUCAGUAUAUUCUUUUGAGACAAAAAUAUCAUAGCACAAAAUGUUUAGACCAGCAACCUGGUCUAUUACAAAUCCUUUCUAAAAAUAAAUGUCCCAAUGGAACUGCAUAUACUAAAUAGGUACCAGUAUAUUUUCCUUUUUAUUGCUCUGUAGAGGUGUGUGAUGACUGCAAUGAAUGACAUUAAAGUGUGUCCCCGUCUUAAGAUUUUGCUUAAUUUGCAAAGAACACCGAUGGUGACAUUGCUGGCAUUGGGGCUGAGGGGGACAGGCAAAGGUAAGUUGGCCUUACCUGAUCCUGUCCCUAACAGGUGCUACCAUCUUCUGGCCAGUCCUAUCCUGCUCAUGGUGCUUUGGCAUCAGGUGCCGAAGUCACGAAGUGUGUUGGAAUAUCAGUGAAAUUCCAGCACAGUCAAUAUGAGUAUUUAAUAAAGAUUCCUAAAACUCUUCCAAAAUGGCAAAUAGCCUUUAUGUGUGUCACAUGACUAUUGCCCUGACUGGCCCUGAGAAAACAGCAAUUUGAAAAGAAUCCGUUCCGAGCUGACUUUGGGCAUUCAUAGGCUUUUGAUUUGAGAAUGUUACAAAUUCUGUAUUUAGUUAUAAAAUAAGUGCUAUUGAACAGAGUAGGUGGAACAUUAUCUUUAAACCGCAGACCUUUUUUCCAAGGAAAAGUUAAAUUGUGAGCACGUUUGCAGCAGGCGAAUAAGCUUUUUUUUUUUUUUUUUGGACAGAAUUCACAAGUACAUUUCAAGUUCUGCUAUAACUUUUAAAGGUCACCAUAAGCAUGGGUCCAUAUUUUCUGAGGGAGUGGGGAGGGGUUUGACGCCUGCUAUACAUUUUUAUUAAGUUAGUUAUGAAAGGGGCAGCAGUUAAACGUGGGGGGAGGGGGGAGAUAAAGUACAGUGUUCAGGCUGAACUGUAAUAGUUUGUAUAUUCAACAUUUGAAGUAUAUUCUAUUUUGUUGUACUCUUGUUUCAAAGUGUAUUCAAGUAGAUUUUACUGCAAUAUAGAAAAUGAAUUUGGUCUGUGUCCUGUCCUUGUUUUGUUCUUCCACUUAAAGUGUAUAAAUCUUUACGCCAAAGUUCCUCAACCUGUGGCAUGUACUUUUACCCAGUGGGGGUCUUAUGAAGGGAUUAGGGGGACCCUUGCUUAAUAUUAUUGCAAAUUUUUAUUUUUGCUACAGUAAGUAUUAGGAGUUUCCAUUAAAGAUGGAUGUUUGAUUUGUAGCAAGUGGUAUUGAGUUAAAAGUUGCAUUAUUUAGUCUAAUCUAGUGGUUCCCAACCCCGUCCUCAAGUACCCCUUAACAGUCCAGCAUUUAGGGAUUACCCAGUUGUCUAAGGUGUUUUCAGAAAGUAGAAAAUAAAUACUUUAGACCCAUCAGGGCAAUCCCUAAAUCCUGGACUGUUAGGGGUUCACUUCAGGACUGGUUUGGGAACCCUUGGUCUAAUCCUACACUUUCUGCUAUCACCAAACAGAACCCAUAUAAGCUACUACAUCAAUGAUCGUUUGACUUGUCUGCUCUACCUUUUAUUUUAAGUUGAAUACAAUUUAAAGACUGAAGCACGGUUUGGAGUGAUAAAAGGAAAAAAGUAAUGAAAUUUAAAACAUUUUGUUUUUUAAUGAUUUGAGAUAAGCAGUGAUUUAGAUUUCAAACACAUGGUAAAACUACUAAAUAUUAAAAGACCCAGUUGCGCUAGCAGUCGCAUGCUAUAGCCAAGCAAAGGUUUGAG